GAUUCUCAGGUGACCCCACCCUGGGAGACUACAGUUGAAUCCUGACCUAGAGGUGAGGAGGCAUCUUUCACUAGCCUUGCUGUUGCCUUUUCUCCUGUGUCAAAAGCUUCUCGGCUCAAUGAUCGCCAGUUGCAGCUUGAAUACCUCCGAGGACAAACAGCUCACUUCCUCCAAACAGGAAGGACAACAGAUGAUGUUACAUGGAGGGUUUACUAUGUGUCAUGCCUUGUGAUAAAUGCUUAAGAUUCAUGAUCAUACUUAAUGCUCACAAUGCCCUUAUGAGAUUAGUGCCAUUAUUGCCACCAGAUGGGGAAACGGAGGCUCUAUAUGUUGCAGAAAAGGAUUUAAGAGCCUCCUCUUAACCCCAGCACCCUCCUGCCCAGCUUGUCCCAUCAUUGGCAGCCCUGAUUAUUAUUUUUCCGUCCUUUGGAGACACUUGGAAUAUACCCUGCCCCUUUUUGACAUAACAACCCUUCAAAUAUUUGAGGCAACCUUCCUGUCCCUUUACCGGUGUCUCAAUUUUCCUUUUUUCCUAUUUCAUGCAAACACGUCUUAGUUUGGUGAGUUCCUCUCCACCCAUUUCCACUUAUCGAUACUCUCCCUCAAAACCUGUGUCUUAUCAGACAUUCUGAAGAGACCCUAUAAUUGUUGAUUUCUUAUGUUAGGAGACAGUGUGCUUUGUUCGUAACAUCUAAUCAUGAAAGCAUCUAUUCUGGGUGCAAAGGGAGGCUUUCUUAAGAGCACAUGGUGAAUUUUUUUCACAACCCUUUUCAGGAAGAAGGCAUUCAAAAAAUCCAGGGCGUUAAAAUAAGCCAGUGUUGAGCUUUGGCGUCAUUGCUGGUGGGAAAGUCUAUGCCAGAAUGAAGGAUGGAAGCCUUCUUGCAUGGUGUUCAUGGUUGCCCUGUGGGGUCCUGUGGGAGGAAGCUGCUUUUGGAUCUAAUUCAGCCUCUGACCUGGGUUCUAUGUAGCUCACUGGCAUGUCACAGUGUCCCUCUGUGUUAGCCUCCUAGCUUGUGAAAGGUGAUCAUGUUGUUGACAAUCUGGUGUUGUAUUUCUCAGAGUGAGUUCUGGUUAGAAAUUGGCUGUCGUGUCACCUUGGGCAAAUCACUCUACCUCUUUGUGUUUUAGCAUUCUCCUCUGCAAGUACAGCGGUAAAUUAAUUACACAAGGAGGCCAUCAGACCCAGGUGGCCGUAAUGCCAUGGAGGCCUACUAAACAAACCAAAAUCUAAGCCUGUAAAUGCCUCAACGUUACUAAGUCAAAAUGCUAAGGACAACCAAGUACAAACAGCCAAUUAGGCUUUAAGCUGUAGCUAAUCAAUAAUUUCCCUACUUUGCUUCCACAUCUCUAUGCUCUAUGAAUGCCUCCCCCUGAGUUCCUCCGAGUGGACUGCUCCAAGCCACUUCCGGUUUGGCGCUGCCUGAGGGGAAUAUUUAAUAUGCCUUUUAGUAAGUUCUGACAUCAGACCUGGAGAAUUGAAAGAGGUACCCCACAGCCUCCAGGAGCGACGAGGAGAAGGGCGAAGUUUCUGGUGACCAGGAGGAGGCCCAGUGGGACACCCCACUUGCUCUGAAGUCUGCAAAUGGCAUCCUGGGAAAACUGGCAGAAGCCGGCAAAGG